AGCGGCGGACGGGUGAGUAAUGCCUGGGAAAUUGCCCUGAUGUGGGGGAUAACCAUUGGAAACGAUGGCUAAUACCGCAUAAUAGCUUCGGCUCAAAGAGGGGGACCUUCGGGCCUCUCGCGUCAGGAUAUGCCCAGGUGGGAUUAGCUAGUUGGUGAGGUAAUGGCUCACCAAGGCGACGAUCUCUAGCUGGUCUGAGAGGAUGAUCAGCCACACUGGAACUGAGACACGGUCCAGACUCCUACGGGAGGCAGCAGUGGGGAAUAUUGCACAAUGGGCGCAAGCCUGAUGCAGCCAUGCCGCGUGUAUGAAGAAGGCCUUCGGGUUGUAAAGUACUUUCAGCAGUGAGGAAGGUGGGUAUGUUAAUAGCAUAUUCAUUUGACGUUAGCUGCAGAAGAAGCACCGGCUAACUCUGUGCCAGCAGCCGCGGUAAUACGGAGGGUGCGAGCGUUAAUCGGAAUUACUGGGCGUAAAGCGCAUGCAGGUGGUUUGUUAAGUCAGAUGUGAAAGCCCGGGGCUCAACCUCGGAAUUGCAUUUGAAACUGGCAAA
rnacentral:rRNA from 1 species